rnacentral:rRNA from 1 species
UGGUGGGGGAGUAAACGGGGCGAAAGGAAGACAAAUUGGGUCUCCUGGGAGAAGAUGACAAGGCCGAAAUAUGAAGGUGGAUUGGGUUUUCGAGACAUCGAGCUGUUUAACCUCGCUCUGCUGGCAAGACAAGCGUGGAGAAUCCUACAAACACCUGAAUCCCUAAGUGCAAAAAUUCUGAAAGCACGCUACUUUCCAACGACAGACUUUCUUGACGCAUCCCUAGGUAACCAACCAUCACAAAUUUGGCGAGCGAUCGUGGAGGGCAAGGAGAUCCUAUCGCAGGGUCUCAUCAAACGCAUAGGUGAUGGUCGGGAUACAUUGAUAUGGCAGCAUAACUGGAUACACAAAGAGGCGUCACUCAGACCUAUAGUAUGCUUGAGCCAACAUCGGCCGCAGUUCGUGUCU